GCCAGGGGUGGUGGUCUGCACCUGUGGUCCUAGCUACUAGGGAGGCUGAGGCAGGAGGAUCGCUUGAGCCCAGGAGGUUGAGGCUGCAGUGAGCUAUGAUUAUACCACUGCACUCCAGCCUGGGCAACAGAGUGAGACCCUGUCUCUA
rfam:Homo sapiens chromosome 6, GRCh38 reference primary assembly.